CUGGUACUAUUUUUUUUCCCCCAUAAAACAUGCUUUAUUCAGUAAAACCUUGUGCGUGUGGCAGGGCACGGGUAGAAGCUUGCAGAGUUGGAGGUGAGGGGCAGGCGUCUACGGCACAGUUGGGACCUGACAACAGGAUGGAGGAGCCAGAGGUCAGAAGACUGGGAGGUUGGCAGUUCUUUGGUAACACAUCAUUUGCUCUUCCAGAGGUGAGAAGAGAAGCUCAGGAGCCCCUGGGGGUUCCAAAGGCCUGACUGGGAAGGGGCAGCUAUCCCUGCAAGUCCAGGGAAGCGCAGCCCCCAGCAGCUGCAGGAACUCCUGGGGCCAGGCCAUCUUGCUGUCAGAACAACAAGCCUUCAUACCAGUUCCACAGCUCCAGGUUGGUUUCCAAGAUGGCGAUGUCUAGGAACGUCCUCUGGAGAAAGAUGCAGAAACUCAAAGCACCACCUCUUUGACUACAUCAUCCAAAGAUACCUAUGGGCCAUUUCUUUCAGAUCCUUUCAUUGGGGAGUGGAAUUCAGAUACCAAAAUCUGAGUGCUGUAUAUCCUUUUUGCUACUACGGUGCCCUUGCUUUCAUUGGACAGACUUGGGAAGUAUAUAAAUUUUGAUUUUGUAUUGAUGUUUCCAACUCAGAUUUAACAUCAUAAGGUUUUUACUUUGAGUUCAUCCUUUUUUUCCUCUAACAUUGAUAGUGUGUAUUUUUAGCAACAUUAAUAUAAUUUCUUUAUCCUACAAUCUAAAUGUAGUAGUUUGAAAAUAACACUACUUAUAAAGCCACUGGAGGCUUAUAUUUGGUUACAGCUCUUUUUAUACUUAAAAUAUCCACAUAAGUAUGUACAGUUGACAUUCUGACUUAUAAAACCAUUUGAAAAUAUUUUCUCUCUGAUUAAGUUACCACUUUGAUAAUUGGUUUAUUUGCAUGAAAUCCUUAACUUUUAAAGAUUGCUUUAAUGUGUUAUUUAAUGUAUGUUUUUUUCUGAUUACUACCCUAACAAGGAUUUGUAAUGUAUUUUUUCAACAUAUAAAAUAUUUAUGUGAACAUUUAUGUAGCUCACGAAUCAGAACUGUAUAAAAUGUUGCAUUCACAGUGUCACUUCCUUCAGUCCCUCCAGUAGUUCCUGUUCUGCCCCAGCUAUAUUAGUUUCUGAUUUAUUCUUUUGCUAUUUCAUUUUUGGAAAUAUAAGCACAUGUAUAGACUUUUAUUCCCCUUUGUUACACAAAGAUUGUAUUCUAUGCACAUUGUCUUGCUUGUUCUUAAUGAAUUCUGGACAUCACUUCAUGGAAGCUCUGCAUUCUUCUUUUGUGCUUGCCAGUUGUUAUCCUAAAGAUGAACAUUUCGGUUGUUUAUGUUCUGUUGCUGUUAUAAAUAUCGCUGCAGUGAGUAGUCUUGUGGUAAUAUUGGUUUAUAUUUGUGCAGGUAUAGCAUUAAGAUAGUGAGAUUAUUGGGUAAAAGGCAAGCACAUUUGUAGCUUAUUGCUUUUCUAGUGUUUAGCUCAGUGUCUGUACUGUGAGUGCUCCAACUCCACUGUGCAGUAGCUAGAAUUAAAUAAUGAGGAAAUUGGGGCUGUGCAGUUAAAGGUCUGGUCUGCUGCACAGGUGUUUAUCAUCGAGUAAUCAUUAAGUAAACGUUUUUUGAAUUUUAAUUGUAAUUUUUUUUCAGGAUCUCAUAGUUAAGAGUUCAGUCAGAAAAAUAGAACCACUAGGGUGGGUAAAGAAAAAAAUAUAUGAAUGUAUGUAUUACUUAUUGAAGGGAUUUGUUACAGGCAUUUGAGUUCAUGCAGUGUGCGAGCUGGCUAAGCAGUCUCUAUAGUGCUAUGUCUUCAUGCCUGGUGCUGCUAUUUGAAGUCCAGAGGACAGACAUUUGGACAAGAAAGACAGAUGUAAAGUGGGGAAGAACAAGAACAAGCUGGAAGCUGUGCCAGUUCAUGUUGUGCUGGGGUCCAGCCCCAGCACAAAGAUUGUAGGGUCCUCUCUGAUAAGCCCCAAAAGGGAGGAAAGGCAGCGUCGGCGAUGGACAGCAAACACACAGACUCAAGAGAUCUGCUGAAUGCUGACAGUUUGUUGAAGCAUGUACACACUUUUUAUACCUUUUCUUGGAGGCAACAUAAUCAUUGAAAUAAUCAUUGAACAAUAUCAUAAUAUUUUUUAUGAGUGACAAAUGUUCCAAGAAAAAUGACAUUACAGUUUGUUCCCAAAAGAAAUAAUUACAAUGUUCUUUUCUUUGAGUAAAAUAAAACGUUUACAAAAAACCCA